UACGUAGGGGGCAAGCGUUGUCCGGAAUCACUGGGCGUAAAGCGCGCGCAGGCGGUCAUCUACGUCUGGGGUGAAAGCCCGGAGCUCAACUCCGGGAUUGCCUUGGAUACGGGAUGACUUGAGGAUCGGAGAGGCAAGGGGAAUUCCACGUGUAGCGGUGAAAUGCGUAGAGAUCGGGAAGAACAUCGGUGGCGAAAGCGCUCUACUGGACCGCAACUGACACUCAGGGACGAAAGCUAGGGGAGCGAAUGGG
rnacentral:rRNA from 1 species